rnacentral:rRNA from 1 species
UUUUCCCUACGGGGGGCAGCAGUGGGGGAUAUUGCACAAUGGGGGGAACCCUGAUGCAGCGACGCCGCGUGAGUGAAGAAGUAAUUCGUUAUGUAAAGCUCUAUCAGCAGGGAAAAAUAAAUGACGGUACCUGAGUAAGAAGCCCCGGCUAUCUACGUGCCAGCAGCCGCGGUAAUACGUAGGGGGCAAGCGUUAUCCGGAUUUACUGGGUGUAAAGGGAGCGUAGACGGCGAUGCAAGCCAGAUGUGAAAGCUCGCGGCUCAACUGAGGUAGUGCAUUUGGAA